CAGGGUGUAGCUCAGCUUGGUUUAGAGCGCUACCUUGGGGUGGUAGAGGUCGCUGGUUCAAAUCCAGUCACCCUGA
rnacentral:tRNA from 1 species